ACACCAUCCUCUUCCUGUUUUUUUUCCGCAUCAAUAUGAUGCUGCAUAAGUAAUGCCAGCAUUUGAUUCGCCUCAUCUUCUGGCAAUGAGCGAUAAAGAUCAACAUCACAUGCCGUAAGAAAGAACGUAAGGACAGUAAGAAAUACUAUACGAUGAACCUUCAUGUCAUGCUAUCCAGCUUAUUAAGCGCUUGCGAUGCUGCGCCUGAUAUUCUGGCAAGAUAAUCGACGCCUACCGUUAACUGCAUAUAAUCCAUUUGUCUGGUCAACAUAACCUGCGGUAAUAAAGCACUGGCGUUACUGGUGGAUGCAUCAUCUUUCAGCAAUUGUUUAAAAAAAUUAAUU
rnacentral:misc_RNA from 1 species